AUUGAACGCUGGCGGCGUGCUUAACACAUGCAAGUCGAACGAAGUGGCGAACGGGUGAGUAAUACGUGAGUAACCUGCCCUCCUUUUUGGGAUAAGCCUUGGAAACGGGGUCUAAUACCGAAUAAAGGGGGAUGGGCCCGCGGCCUAUCAGCUUGUUGGUGGGGUGAUGGCCUACCAAGGCGGUGACGGGUAGCCGGCCUGAGAGGGUGACAGGCGACAUUGGGACUGAGACACGGCCCCGAUCCCUACGGGAGGCAGCCGGGGGCGCUACUGCACAAUGGGCGAAAGCCUGAUCCAGCCAUGCCGCGUGUGUGAAGAAGGUCUUGGGAUUGUAAAGCACUUUAAGUUGGGAGGCGUUACCACCAGACUAAGCAGCGGGUAACUUCGUGCUAGCAGCCGCGGUAAUUC
rnacentral:rRNA from 1 species